UUAGGAAUCUUGCGCAAUGGGCGAAAGCCUGACGCAGCGACGCCGCGUGUGCGAAGAAGGCCUUCGGGUUGUAAAGCACUGUCACCUGGGACGAAAUAGCGGAAACUAAUAAGUUCCGUUUUUGACGGUACCAGGGAAGGAAGCACCGGCUAACUCCGUGCCAGCAGCCGCGGUAAUACGGAGGGUGCAAGCGUUGUUCGGAUUUAUUGGGCGUAAAGAGCAUGUAGGCGGUAUUGUAAGUCUGAUGUGAAAUCCUUGGGCUCAACCUGAGAACUGCAUCAGAUACUGCUUUACUAGAGUAUCGGAGAGGGCGCUGGAAUUCCUGGUGUAGAGGUGAAAUUCGUAGAUAUCAGGAAGAACACCGGUGGCGAAGGCGGGCGCCUGGACGAUUACUGACGCUGAGAUGCGAAAGCGUGGGGAGCAAACAGG
rnacentral:rRNA from 1 species